AAAAACUUCAAAAUUUUGAAAUUAAAUACAGAAUGAAACUAUUAAGUAUGUGUGCAAUGGUGGUAGUACUAUAUAUACAGUACUAGCAUCUUUCUUGAUGAUGAAUUUGAAAAAUCGACACGUCUGUAUAUGAUCUAGGUGUGUGUGUGUGUGUGUAUAUAUAUAUAUAGGGGAAAAUGGAUAUGCACAGUUGUGCAAUUUUUUUUUACACAGUCAGCCAAAACGACGUCGUUUUGGUCGACUUGUUUUAAAAAAAAAAUUGCACGGCUUCUCUCCCAAAUCGCUCUUUCAUCCUCCCAAAUCAAAAAUCGCACGAGGGCUUCUUUUCUCCCAAAUUCUCUUCUGUCACUUCUACUCCUUCAGCUUCAUGGUGAGAGUAUCAUCGGAUUACUGGACUUCAACCAGGUGUCGUUGCUGCCAUCCCUACUAUGAAGUUCACCCGCGAGGCUUUCAGCUCUCUGAUUUGAUAGAUUUUUGUUUCAGGUAUGAUUUUUGCUAGCUUAUAAUCUCAAACUAGCGUUUAGAUUUUUGUUUUUCGUAUGAAUCUAAUGUUUAUAGCAUGUUUACAGUUUUUAUUUCGCUUGAAGGGUUUUACAUUUUCUGUUAUUGAAAUUUAGGCGAUUAGGGCUCAGUGUAUAACUUGUCAUUUAUACUUGAAUCUAAGAAUUUGGUAGCUUUUUGCUUUUUCUGAUAAAUUUUUUUUUUUAUAACAUUUGGGAUUGUUUCAUUUUAGCUAUAUUAUUCAUGGGUUUAAAAUUUAAGGCUGUAUUUUCUGGAUUUAUAACAGACCAUGUAAUUUAAUUUACUUGUUCUGUCUCAAAAAUCAUAUCCCACGAGCUUUUCAAGGCUAUAUUUUUAUCGAAUGAUGUUUCAAUUAGUUUUAGAGUUUGGGAUUUUAUAUACAAAUUUGGAAUGUAGAGUAAGUUUUGUGUUGAAAAAGAUUUAUUUGGAACUGAAUCAUUGAGGCUAUGAUGUAAUUUACUAUUGAUUGAAACAGAUUGAUUAUUGAUCGGUACAAUUUUUGAUUUUUCUAUGAACAAUUUGGAAUCCAGGAUUGAAGCCAUUCGUGUUAUCAGAGAUACUGGUACAAGUAUGAGCAUGGGUAUUGCCUAUGUUUUAUUUAAAACAAAGGUUACUUCAUAGGUUUUCCUUAUGGUAUUGGAUUUCAAUAUAAUACUUAAGCCCCUGG
rnacentral:lncRNA from 1 species